rnacentral:rRNA from 1 species
AUUGAACGCUGGCGGCAUGCCUUACACAUGCAAGUCGAACGGUAACGGGCCUUCGGGUGCCGACGAGUGGCGAACGGGUGAGUAAUACAUCGGAACGUGCCCGAUCGUGGGGGAUAACGAGGCGAAAGCUUUGCUAAUACCGCAUACGAUCUACGGAUGAAAGCAGGGGACCGCAAGGCCUUGCGCGGACGGAGCGGCCGAUGGCAGAUUAGGUAGUUGGUGGGAUAAAAGCUUACCAAGCCGACGAUCUGUAGCUGGUCUGAGAGGAUGAUCAGCCACACUGGGACUGAGACACGGCCCAGACUCCUACGGGAGGCAGCAGUGGGGAAUUUUGGACAGUGGGCGCAAGCCUGAUCCAGCCAUGCCGCGUGCAGGAUGAAGGCCUUCGGGUUGUAAACUGCUUUUGUACGGAACGAAAAGCCUUCUUUUAAUACAGGAGGGUCAUGACGGUACCGUAAGAAUAAGCACCGGCUAACUACGUG